rnacentral:rRNA from 1 species
AUGUUUGCCUCCUGCGCGCAGCUCUCGCCGCGGCUGCGCGUGCGCUGGACGCUCCGCGAGGCGGCCAACGCCAUCGACGUCGGGCUCGAGGCCGCCGUCGGGUCCGAGUACUACAUGGCGUUCGGCUGGGCGGACCCCGCCAGGAACGUCUCCAUGAUCGGCGCCGACGUCGCCGUCGCGGGCUUCACCGAGGAGGGCCUCCCGUUCGCCGACGACUACUUCGUCACCAAGUACAGCGAGUGCCUGCUCCGCGGCGACGGCGGCGCCGAGGGCGUCUGCCCGGACACGUUCUACGACCGCCGCAACGGCAGCACCGCCGGCGACGCGUCCGUCAACAACACCAGGCUCGUGUACGGCCACCGCCGCGACGGCGUCUCCUUCGUGCGCUUCUCGCGCCCGCUGGCGUCGCCCGACAAGAGGUACGACGUGGCGGUCAAUGCCACGAGGGAGAUGACCGUGAUCUGGGCCAUCGGGCUGCUCCGGCAGCCGGACUUGCUGAGGCCGUAUUACCUGCCGCUCAACCACGGCGCGCCGGCGGGCACCGCGUACGGGUUCCUCACGCUCAACGUGUCCGCGGCGACCAACGGGUGCCCCGGGCCGCUGGACGCCGAGGACAAGGAGGACCAGGGCAGGAUCACGGCGGAGCGGCAGACCCCGCUGGUGGUCACCACGGGGCCGGCGCUGCACUACCCCAACCCGCCCAACCCAGAAAAGGUGCUCUACAUCAACAAGAAGGAGGCGCCUCUGCUCAAGGUGGAGCGCGGCGUGCCGGUCACCUUCUCCGUCGAGGCCGGGCACGACGUGCCGCUGUACAUCACGUCCGACGCCGUCGGCGGUAACGCCACGGCCCGGAACAUGUCCGAGAUAAUCUACGCCGGCAGCCCGACUGCAGAGGGCGUGCCGGCAACGCCUACAGAGCUUGUCUGGCUGCCUGACCGCAACACGCCGGACCUAGUAUACUACCAAUCCCUCUACGACCCCAAGAUGGGUUGGAAAAUUCAGGUGGUCGACGGCGGCCUCAGCGACAUGUACAACAACAGCGUGCUGCUGGACGAUCAGCAGGUGACAUUCUUCUGGACUCUGUCCGGCGACUCCAUCAACAUCGCGGCCCGCGGCGAGAAGAAGAGCGGGUACAUUGCCAUCGGCUUCGGCGGCGCAAUGGUGAACAGCUACGCCUACGUCGGGUGGGUCGACAGCAACGGCAAGGGACAUGUCAACUCGUACUGGAUCGACGGAAAGGACGGCAUGAGCGUGCACGAGACGCACGAGAACCUCACCUACAAGAGGUGCCGGUCGGAGAACGGCGUGAUCAUAUUCGAGUUCACCCGUCCAUUGACGCCUUCGUGCAGUGGAAGGGUGGAGUGCAAGAACAUCAUCGAUCCCUCGACACCUCUGAAGGUCAUCUGGGCCAUGGGCUCCCAGUGGUCAUCUGGCCGACUGAGUGUGAAGAACAUGCACUCUGUCACUAGCAACCGUCCGGUCCGAAUCCUUCUUCUCAGCGGCUUGGCGGAGGCGGUGGAGGAUCUGCGGCCGGUGCUCGCCGUUCAUGGGUUCAUGAUGUUUGUGGCAUGGGGACUGCUGCUUCCAGGAGGAAUCGUCGCAGCACGGUACCUGAAGCAUGUGAAAGGGGAUCUCUGGUUCCAGGCUCACACAUAUCUUCAGUACUCAGGCCUGGCUGUCAUGUUCAUGGGGGUUCUCUUUGCUGUGGCCGAGCUCCGGGGUUUCUCUUUCAAAUCCACACAUGCUAAAAUCGGCGCGAUAGCAUUUACAUUCACUUGUAUGCAGCCGGUAAAUGCUUAUCUCCGACCACACCAAGCGGAGAAUGGAGAAAUUUUAUCAAGAAACAGGAUCACCUGGGAAUAUCUGCAUACCUACACCGGGAGGACCGCUCUGGUAGCCGCUGUCACGGCACUCUUCACUGGGUUGCAGCAUCUUGGGCACAGGUACGGCAGCAAGACGAUCAAGGGACUUACAUGUGGAUUGGUUGUAUGGGUUGUGAGUGCUGUAUUGGUGGUGGCUUACCUCGAGUACAUGAAGGUUAAGCGAAGAAGAGAUGGCGUCGAUGGCCUUAUGCACAAAUUUGUGCUCGGCAACACUGAGGAAGACGAUUCAGUUGAUCUUCUGCAGUCCGAUAGGUUCGACAGUAAAAUGGACUCAGGUUCGCCUGGAUCGAUGGAAGUGCAGCUUGAGCCACUCAAAGGAUGA